rnacentral:rRNA from 1 species
GAUGAACGCUGGCGGCGUGCCUAAUACAUGCAAGUCGAGCGAACAGACGAGGAGCUUGCUCCUCUGACGUUAGCGGCGGACGGGUGAGUAACACGUGGAUAACCUACCUAUAAGACUGGGAUAACUUCGGGAAACCGGAGCUAAUACCGGAUAAUAUAUUGAACCGCAUGGUUCAAUAGUGAAAGACGGUUUUGCUAUCACUUAUAGAUGGAUCCGCGCCGCAUUAGCUAGUUGGUAAGGUAACGGCUUACCAAGGCAACGAUCCGUAGCCGACCUGAGAGGAGGAUAAGACACACUGGGACGGAGACACGGCCCAGACUCCUGAGGGAGGCAGAAGUAGGGAAAAUUGGAAAAUGGACGAAAGCCUGAUCAAGCAAUGCCGCGUGAAUGAUGAAGGCCUUAGGGUUGUAAAGCGCUUUUACACGGGAUGAUAAGGACAGGACAGGGAGAAUGAGAGACGGCUAACGCCGUG